CUCCCCAGCCUGAGCCCACCGCCUCCCUUUUCAACUUGGAGGAAGUUCCUCCUCUGUCCCGCGUCCCCCUCUCCCUUGCCAGCCCCACUCCGAGAACAUUUUUAUGGUAAUAAGACAACAAAUUAAUCUGCUGUUGCAACAAGGCUUCCCUACAGGUAGCCAGCUCGAGGGAGGGGGGCAAGGGGAAGCAGAUUCAAAGUGCAGGCGUUGUCCCCCCUCCCGCAGGAUYCCCCCCAGCCCCUUUCCUCCCUUCCUGCACAGCCCUGGUAAACUGGAGCAGAUCUCGAAAGUCAGCGGGGGAAAGCAAGACACCCAAGCGRGGAGGAGAGAAACGAAGAAAAGGCCGCGGCGGAUCUACUGGCUCGCAGCCGUCCCGGGGAGACGGGCCAUUAGGCAGAGGAGCCAUGGCUCAGAGCUCAGGGAGAGCAGCACCCCUUGACAGGCCGAGUUCCCGCCGUGUUUGCCGCGGGAGCUUCGCCAGGAGCCGCAGCGGAGCCCCCAGACUCGAGCGAGAGCCGGGCCAAGCCUCGGUCCCUUCUCUUCCCUUC
ensembl:lncRNA